AACGUAGGAGACAAACGUUAUCCGGAGUUACUGGGCGUAAAGCGUGCGCAGGCGGUUUUGUAAGCCAGAUGUGAAAUCCCCGGGCUUAACCUGGGAAUGGCAUUUGGGACUGCAAGGCUUGAGUGCGGCAGAGGAGACUGGAAUUCCUGGUGUAGCAGUGAAAUGCGUAGAUAUCAGGAGGAAUACCGAUGGCGAAGGCAGGUCUCUGGGCUGACACUGACGCUCAUGCACGAAAGCGUGGGGAGCAAACAGG
rnacentral:rRNA from 1 species